rnacentral:rRNA from 1 species
AACGAAUGCUGGCGGCAGGCCUAACACAUGCAAGUCGAGCGGACCCUUCGGGGUUAGCGGCGGACGGGUGAGUAACGCGUGGGAAUAUGCCCUUCUCUACGGAAUAGUCCUGGGAAACUGGGGGUAAUACCGUAUACGCCCUUUGGGGGAAAGAUUUAUCGGGGAAGGAUUAGCCCGCGUUGGAUUAGGUAGUUGGUGGGGUAAUGGCCUACCAAGCCGACGAUCCAUAGCUGGUUUGAGAGGAUGAUCAGCCACACUGGGACUGAGACACGGCCCAGACUCCUACGGGAGGCAGCAGUGGGGAAUCUUAGACAAUGGGGGCAACCCUGAUCGAGCCAUGCCGCGUGAGUGAUGAAGGCCUUAGGGUUGUAAAGCUCUUUCAGCUGGGAAGAUAAUGACGGUACCAGCAGAAGAAGCCCCGGCUAACUCCGUG